GAUGAACGCUGGCGGCGUGCCUAAUACAUGCAAGUCGAGCGAACAGACGAGGAGCUUGCUCCUCUGACGUUAGCGGCGGACGGGUGAGUAACACGUGGAUAACCUACCUAUAAGACUGGGAUAACUUCGGGAAACCGGAGCUAAUACCGGAUAAUAUAUUGAACCGCAUGGUUCAAUAGUGAAAGACGGUUUUGCUGUCACUUAUAGAUGGAUCCGCGCCGCAUUAGCUAGUUGGUAAGGUAACGGCUUACCAAGGCAACGAUGCGUAGCCGACCUGAGAGGGGGAUCGGCCACACUGGAACUGAGACACGGUCCAGACUCCUACGGGAGGCAGCAGUAGGGAAUCUUCCGCAAUGGGCGAAAGCCUGACGGAGCAACGCCGCGUGAGUGAUGAAGGUCUGCGGAUCGUAAAACUCUGUUAUUAGGGAAGAACAAAUGUGUAAGUAACUAUGCACGUCUUGACGGUACCUAAUCGGAAAGCCACGGCGAACUACGU
rnacentral:rRNA from 1 species